rnacentral:rRNA from 1 species
CGGACGGGUGAGUAAUGUCUGGGAAACUGCCUGAUGGAGGGGGGUAACUACUGGAAACGGUAGCUAAUACCGCAUAACGUCGCAAGACCAAAGAGGGGGACCGUUAGGGCCUCUUGCCAUCGGAUGUGCCCAGAUGGGAUUAGCUAGUAGGUGGGGUAACGGCUCACCUAGGCGACGAUCCCUAGCUGGUCUGAGAGGAUGACCAGCCACACUGGAACUGAGACAGGGUCCAG